rnacentral:rRNA from 1 species
GUCGAGAAUCUUUCACAAUGGGGGCAACCCUGAUGGAGCGACGCCGCGUGGAGGAUAAGGUCUUCGGAUUGUAAACUCCUGUCAUGCGUGAACAAGGUUGCUUGGUUAAUACCUGGGCAAAUUGAUGGUAACGCAAGAGGAAGAGACGGCUAACUCUGUGCCAGCAGCCGCGGUAAUACAGAGGUCUCAAGCGUUGUUCGGAAUCACUGGGCGUAAAGGGUGCAUAGGUGGCGUGGUAAGUCAGAUGUGAAAGCCCGGGGCUCAACCUCGGAACUGCAUCCGAUACUGCCAUGCUAGAGUACUGGAGAGGUGACUAGAAUUCUCGGUGUAGCAGUGAAAUGCGUAGAUAUCGAGAGGAAUACCAAAGGCGUAGGCAGGUCACUGGACAGUUACUGACACUGAGGCACGAAGGCCAGGGGAGCGAACGGGAUUAGAUACCCUUGUAGUCC